GAUGAACGCUGGCGGCGGGCCUAACACAUGCAAGUCGAACGCGCCCAGAAGGGAACUUGUUCCUUUCAACGCGAGUGGCGAACGGGUGAGUAACACGUGGGAAACCUACCCUUCAGGGGGGGAUAACCAUCGGAAACGUUGCCUAAAACCCCAAAGUUGUCCCAGUCGCAGAGCUGGAAUGUGGAAGACCUUUCCGGCUGUCACGGCACGAUGGUCCCGCGGAGCAUUAGCUAGACGGUGGGGUAACGGCCUACCGCGGCUUUGAUGCAUAGCCGGCCUGAGAGGGUGAUCGGCCACAUUGGGACUGAGACACGGCCCAAACUCCUACGGGAGGCAGCAGUAGGGAAUAUUCCGCAAUGGGCGCAAGUCUGACGCAGCAACGCCGCGUGUGGGAAGAAGGUCUUCGGAUCGUAAAGCACUGUUAGCAGGGAAGAAGAGCCUAUAGUGUAUACCUUAUAGGUUUGACGGUAACUGAAGAAAAAGCACCGGCUAACUCCGUG
rnacentral:rRNA from 1 species